ACAACGGAGAGUUUGAUCCUGGCUCAGGAUGAACGCUGGCGGCGUGCUUAACACAUGCAAGUCGAACGAACCUUCGGGUUAGUGGCGGACGGGUGAGUAACGCGUGAGAAUCUGCCCUCAGGAGGGGGAUAACGGCUGGAAACGGCCGCUAAUACCCCAUAUGCCGAGAGGUGAAAUGAAUUUCGCCUGAGGAUGAGCUCGCGUCUGAUUAGCUAGUUGGUAGGGUAAAGGCCUACCAAGGCUUCGAUCAGUAGCUGGUCUGAGAGGAUGAUCAGCCACACUGGGACUGAGACACGGCCCAGACUCCUACGGGAGGCAGCAGUGGGGAAUUUUCCGCAAUGGGCGAAAGCCUGACGGAGCAACGCCGCGUGAGGGAUGAAGGCCUCUGGGCUGUAAACCUCUUUUAUCAAGGAAGAAGAUCUGACGGUACUUGAUGAAUAAGCCACGGCUAAUUCCGUGCCAGCAGCCGCGGUAAUACGGGAGUGGCAAGCGUUAUCCGGAAUUAUUGGGCGUAAAGCGUCCGCAGGCGGUCUUACAAGUCUGUCGUUAAAGCGUGGAGCUUAACUCCAUUUCAGCGAUGGAAACUGUAAGACUAGAGUGUGGUAGGGGCAGAGGGAAUUCCCGGUGUAGCGGUGAAAUGCGUAGAUAUCGGGAAGAACACCAGUGGCGAAGGCGCUCUGCUGGGCCAUAACUGACGCUCAUGGACGAAAGCCAGGGGAGCGAAAGGGAUUAGAUACCCCUGUAGUCCUGGCCGUAAACGAUGAACACUAGGUGUCGGGGGAAUCGACCCCCUCGGUGUCGUAGCCAACGCGUUAAGUGUUCCGCCUGGGGAGUACGCACGCAAGUGUGAAACUCAAAGGAAUUGACGGGGGCCCGCACAAGCGGUGGAGUAUGUGGUUUAAUUCGAUGCAACGCGAAGAACCUUACCAGGGUUUGACAUCCUGCGAAUCCCUUGGAAACGAGGGAGUGCCUUCGGGAACGCAGUGACAGGUGGUGCAUGGCUGUCGUCAGCUCGUGUCGUGAGAUGUUGGGUUAAGUCCCGCAACGAGCGCAACCCACGUCUUUAGUUGCCAGCAUUUAGUUGGGCACUCUAGAGAGACUGCCGGUGAUAAACCGGAGGAAGGUGUGGAUGACGUCAAGUCAUCAUGCCCCUUACAUCCUGGGCUACACACGUACUACAAUGCUACGGACAAAGGGCAGCAAACUCGCGAGAGCUAGCAAAUCCCAUAAACCGUGGCUCAGUUCAGAUCGUAGGCUGCAACUCGCCUACGUGAAGGAGGAAUCGCUAGUAAUCGCAGGUCAGCAUACUGCGGUGAAUACGUUCCCGGGCCUUGUACACACCGCCCGUCACACCAUGGAAGUUGGCCACGCCCGAAGUCGUUACUCCAACCCUUGUGGAGGAGGAUGCCGAAGGUGGGGCUGAUGACUGGGGUGAAGUCGUAACAAGGUAGCCGUACCGGAAGGUGCGGCUGGAUCACCUCCUAA
rnacentral:rRNA from 1 species